rnacentral:lncRNA from 1 species
GCAUUCCACGGGACAUGAUGCUGGCCUUCUACAGUGCUGAUCAGACCUAGUAAGCACAAAGUCGCAAAUAUCCCAGACACCCUGACCACAGACACACAUGUAUACCAAGGACAGGAAUAAAUACCUAAAACUGUAAGGCACUGCCACCUUCUUAGAUGUCUUGGUGAGAGGUCCACUGUUCAGAGGGCACACUGAGAUAUAAGGCGAAGGCCUUUUUGGAUCUGUAGUGUGCUACCUCUUUAAUGGGAAAUCUUAGAGGCUAUCAGUAUUGAAUGGUGACCAGAGGAAAAUACUGCUCUACAUAUAGGUCUGGGCUGUCAUACAAACUGAUCUGCUACUGGGGCCUCAUGACCUAGCAGAUCCAAAAGUAUUCAACAUGUUUGUGGCAGAUGCAAAUGCUGUUUAGAACCUUCGAGAGGUCGCUGUAGAAGCACAAUGCAAAACUUCAGGAUUUUGGAGCAAAACUUUGUCAUCUUUUGCACACACAGUGUUCUCUUUUGAUAGCUCCUGGUGUGCUACUGGACCUUAGUAGAGAUAGAAUGUCUGACUCUGAGCCACUAAGUAACCAUUCAACCUCUUCUGCCCUUCAAGAACUGGGAAAUGUCUGAAAAAACAAGUAAUGAAACGUGUGUAUAGCAGCACUCCAUUACAAGUUGUAGUUUUAUAUACGAGAUUGGUCUCAAGCAAGACCUAAAGGUAAAAGUAAGAGGCUCAGAUUUGCAUGGCUCCUCCUCUUGCUGCAUUAACUGCUGUCUCUCAACGCAAGCAUACUGUAACAUAUUGAUGGAGGAGGAAAAUGCUGAGUCUCGUUUACUGAUAAUUCUAUGUAACAUGCUGGCAUCACCUAAAGUGGAGAACUGCGAGAUUACUGCCCCAUCCAAGAAAACCCUUCAGCAGCCCCAUUCUUCAGGAACCGUGAAGGACUAUGGCAAAGGUAAACACUUUCUGUGGGUAGAACUCCAAAAAAUGCCCCCAAGUGUUCCUUUUCCUGGAAGGAAAUUAUCAGGGGUAUAUAUCUAUGUACAUAAGCUAAUAGAUUGUGCAGAUAAUCCAAAAUGUCAAAGGACCAGACUGGAAAAUGGGUAACAAAGAGGUGUGGGGAAGAGCUGUGUAUACUGUGACAAUAGUCACGGUAUAAAAGUAUUUUUGUCCCACCGUAAAUGGUAUGAAAGAAAUGCUGGGGUAUAGAAUGGGAUAUGUAGAAGGGAUUAAGUCAGUAAUUAUUAAGAUUUAGAAGGGGAGUCACCUAUGCUUUUAAAAACAAUGUAAUGUAGAGCUUGCCUCCAGAAAAAUACAUGUAUAUGGUACAUACUUUACACUUUCUGAAGGUUCAUGAACCUUCCAAUCAAAACGAUGUCUACAAACCUCUUAGAUUAAAGGUCCAAAACAUCAUUUUCAAUAGCACAGAUCUGAUAAGAAUUGGAAAUCAACUAACUACCUGAUUUUAAAGUGAGCAAAAAAUGCUUUAAAGCUAGCCUCCAAGUAGACAGACUAAUUAACUGAGUACUUUACCAUAUUAGAAUCUAUCCAGUCUCUUUCCCAGUCUGUUCCUCUUUGCCUUCUCCGCUCUCUAAAACAAAAGAACCAGAACAUUUUAUGAAUAAUCUUAGAGAUCAACUCACCUAACCCCCCUCUCCCUGAGUUUUACUGAUGAAUAAACAGACCCCAAAGAUAAAGUGAGGCACCAGCAUAGUGUGACAAAAUCAGACAUAA